CAUCUCUGCCGGGCAGCAGUGGAUGUGGCAAGGAUGUAGACGGCAACUUCGACCAGCGCACCUUCCCUUCCCCCUCCAGUCCUCCACUUCGUCCUCCUUGCACCAACAGCAAGACCGGCAGAGCCGUGCACGCCGAAGACUCCUUGUCGGCGCCGCAGACGAUGGAAGCCAAGUGGGAGGAGCCAAGGGUGGUGAAGCUGCGAGCUAUGGAGGUCACGCCGGAGUCCUUCGCGCCGUUCAGGCAGGUCAUGGCCGCCUCCCCUAGGUCAGGACACGGCCGCCCUCUCUAGAUUCUGCGGGAAUCAGUACCAGCGAAUCAUCCUCAGCUACUCUUACCUGGGAAAGGUAUAUUUCUGGAAGAAAAAAAGGGAUGAACUCAGCAUAUUGAGUCAUGUCCGUUGUUUGCUGCCUCUCGACUGUAAGAAUAUCUGAGCUGCACAUUUGGGUCAUUCUUCAGUUCAGCACGGCUGGGCCAUUGGUGUUCACACCAGGAAAUAGAUGAUUCAGCACUACACAAAACCAAAAGACACUUUCGAAGCAGCCGUGAUGAGCAGCACCAGAAGCGCAAAACAACAGAGAAUUGUGUACAUCGUUUACAUGAAUCGAGAUGACAUUCAUCCAACCUGCAUCAGUCCAGCAGCCAAGUAGAUGAUAAAUGGCAUUUACAACAGAUCUUGGUCAGUUUCUCCCAAUUCAUGUCAUCUUUGUUCACAGUUAUAUAACACAAGGCAAAUUUGCAGAUAGAGUAGAAUCAAACAAGAUUUUAGUCAUUUUCUCCCAAUUCUACUCAGUCAACAGAAAUAUGCACUCAGGCAGAGAUGGUGUAGCCAAAUAGAAACUGUUAUUACUUGCUAACUGAACUGACAGAAAAAUGACUCAAGUCUUAUGUGAUGAAACUGAAUAAACUGAGCUUGGAUACACCUAACUGCACACUGGUUCCAUCUAAAUAAAUUGUACUGUUGGGCUAAUAGCUAUUCUUGGUGUCCCUGUCAAAGCCACUGUAAAAGAGCCACAUCUCUCAUUGGCUUUUAUUUGCUUGCAGAGAUCAUUUUGUAGGCAUUCCCAUAAUUCAUGGCAAGGAUUUAUAAAUUAUAUAGAACGAUUAGUUAAAAUUGAUCCGGCCUCCGUUUCUUGCUGAAUGGUUCUUCAGAGAAAAUGGCAUGUUUGAUAUGAAACCUAAUAACGUUUUAGUGCGUUGCAGGUCCUCUAAAAAAAAUUUAGAGGAGAGGAAACUUUGUCCUAUAUUUGCCACACCAUGCUUUGGAGAUACAACUCUGAAUUGAUGAAUACAGAAGAAAUAUUAUCUGAUCAUGGAUAGAUUGUGUAAUUUAAAAUCCCUUUUUACCAAGCCUGGAAACUUUUAAUAAUCCUAGAUAAACUUUUGCACUCUGCCAAAAAGCUCUUGGUAUUCUUUCUUUUCCAUCCACAAAUCUUAUGCAUGUGUUGUGCCAUAUAUCUGCAUCCCGCAUAAACACUUAUCAGUUGCAAGAAAAGAAAAGGGUAAUACUCAUGCUAAAUUGUGUGUAAAGUUCCGAGUAGUUCACAAAGUCCAAAUAGUGGUUGUUAUAGCAAACGGAAAUUCUAAGAAAUUAGUUGACAUUUAUAGAAGUUGUAUGUUUACCAUAGUUUAAUAGAACCAUGCAUACUUAAUAUCUCAUGUGGUCGACUAGAUGUGUAUUACUCAAUACGUUGAUUUUUUUUCCUAGGCAAGUGUAUUACUUUGUUUUUUUGGACAUGUCUCCUCCUUAUAGUAGUCUACUAAUUAAAUACUCUUUUCUUGAGGCUAAGGUGCAAUAAAUAUGAGCUUUAGAAUAUAUCGUCUGCCAUUGUUGUUACUUAGAUCUUUAGUAGGGAUCUUCUAUUCAUUUCCUGCAAUUCAAUAUUUGAAAUACCUCUAUUUUAUCAUCUAUAAACAUAUGAAGUUUUAUGACCGUCUAAAGUAGUUUUCUAAAGAUGCAUUCUUACUAAGUUUGGGUUGCCUCCUUGCUUAGAAUAGACGAGUUCAGGCCAAGGAUCAAGAAGAAGCAUCACAUAUCAGGCGUGCGACCGACGAGUUGGUCCAGUCGGAACUCAACACUGAAACUAUGUGAACCAUCUAUGUUUCUAUCAGAAGGUAGGUAAGCAGCUCCUUGACUGCAUAGAUGUCAACUACCUAGACAAUGACAAAGCUGAGCCUUUCACAAGGAGCCCCCCGGUCACGACCCUAACACAGUUGGCAAAACCAUGUAAUUAUCCUCUCCUUUCCUCUAAGAAUACUGAUUGCCCUGGAAGUGGAAAUAAUCAAAAAGGUUGUCCAAUGAUGGUGUUCUAUGUUUGUAGGCUCUGGUUUUACCAAGUGUGUGUCAUGCUCUGGAUUUGAUGAAAGUUAAGAAUUAUAUUGUUCCGUUUA